rnacentral:rRNA from 1 species
AGCAGCCGCGGUAAUUCCAGCUCCAAUAGCGUAUAUUAAAGUUGUUGCAGUUAGAAAGCUCGUAGUUGAAUUUCAGAAUCAUCAGGUUGGUCGUGCCUCUGGUAUGUACUGAUCUCGAUGGUUCCUCCUUCUUGAAGAACCGUAAUGGCAUUAAUUUGUUGUUGCGGGGAAACAGGACUGUUACUUUGAAAAAUUAGAGUGUUUAAAGCAGGCAAUCGCUUGAAUACAUUAGCAUGGAAUAAUGAAAUAGGACGUUCGAUCCUAUUUUGUUGGUUUCUAGGAUUGACGUAAUGAUUAAUAGGGAUAGUUGGGGGCAUUAGUAUUCAAUUGUCAGAGGUGAAAUUCUUGGAUUUAUUGAAGACUAACUACUGCG